AUCUAGAUGUGAUCAUAGGAGUGAGUAGCUGAGUCAAGUGUGUUUUACUAAAUAAUAUAUAUGAUUAAGAAGUCACAUUUUUCUUACAUUUUCAACCUUGUCCCAGUUGAAGCCACCUCAGUAAAUUAUCCAAAACUUUGUGGGUUUUUAAAAAUUAUUUAAUCAUGAGAGACACAGAGAGAGAGACAGACACACAGGCAGAGGGAGAAGUAGGGUCCCUGCAGGGAACCUGAUGCAGGACUCGAUCCCAGGACCCUGGGAUCACGACUUGAGCCAAAGGCAGACGCUCAACCACUGAGACACCCAGGUGCCCCAAAACUUUGUUUUAUUUCUCAAAUGAAGCUGAAUGAAAUCUUUGUUCACAGGCAGCUCAUAGGCCAUGAAUGACCCAUUGUGACUCACAGAUGCCCUGGGUCUCUGCAUCCUGCACACAUGACUAGGACAUUUGAUGAGACUCCCUAAUAGGAAAAGACGGCUUUGAAUCCCAAAUGAACAUUAGCAUACAUACUUGGGGUUGAUGAAGUAUACUUGAGUAAUUUCUGUAAAGCCAAGGGAUAUUUUAUUGAUUCUAACCAAAUAGCAGAUUGCUGUAUUUCCCUUUGUGGUUGCCAUGUGCAUUAUGCAAAUUUGCCUUUUAAGUAUACCCCAUGAGGCAAAGAAUUUGAAAACCAUGUACCCAGAAAACCUAAAUCAGAACCCUUAAGUUGAAUGUUUUGUCCUCAGCAAUUGAGUUGACUGGGAAAAAAAAAAACAAGAACAAAAAAAUUUCAAGAAUACAAGCUCAGAUCAAUUAUCUCACUGAAAAAAAAUUAAAAAGACAAAGAACUAUCCAAAAUUUCCAAGUGAGGUCAAAAGGCUUCCUGCAAAAGGACCCACCCAGGAAUGUUUGGGGAUUUCUGUGUAACCUGGAGAUAGCCACUAAGUUCUGGAGCUCUUUGAGAUUCCUCGGACCUUUACAGUAUGCCGAACAUAAUUUCUAA
rnacentral:lncRNA from 12 species